rnacentral:rRNA from 1 species
CUUUACUGUAGCUUUGCAUUGGACUUUGAACCAAUCUGUGUAGGAUAGGUGGGAGGCUUUGAAGCGGGGACGCCAGUUCUCGUGGAGCCAUCCUUGAAAUACCACCCUGGUUUGUUUGAGGUUCUAACCUUGGCCCAUUAUCUGGGUCGGGGACAGUGCAUGGUAGGCAGUUUGACUGGGGCGGUCUCCUCCCAAAGUGUAACGGAGGAGUUCGAAGGUACGCUAGUUACGGUCGGACAUCGUGACGAUAGUGCAAUGGCAUAAGCGUGCUUAACUGCGAGACUGACAAGUCGAGCAGGUACGAAAGUAGGACAUAGUGAUCCGGUGGUUCUGUAUGGAAGGGCCAUCGCUCAACGGAUAAAAGGUA